AAAUCUACAAUCAGAAAGGGAAAGAAAGGGAACGGGGAGCUCGAGGGGGAAAACAGAAAGGGAAAAGAAAGGAAGGGGAAAGAGGGAAGGCAGGGGAAAAACGGAGGUGAAGAGAGGGAGGAGGAAGGUGCGACGCGGCCAAGACCUCACUGCUGCCGCUGUUGUGCUGCACGUGAGAGUGAGAGAGACACACACACAGGACGAGCGUCGCGAGAAUCAAGGGAGGGAGACACGGUUCCGUCCUGUUGCCGUUGUGGGUUGCGCCUGAUCACUAUCGCAGAAGCUCCAUCGUCGCUGUUGCACAUAAGAGGAGAAGAUGAUUUCGCUGAUUUUGAUUCUGUCUAAGCCCGCAUCGUUGCUGGAAUCGCGAACCGGGGAGGAGAGGGAGGCUGCUUCCAUCGUCAUUUCAGGUGUCAGAAAAGACCGUCGCCAUUGAAGGAUCCACCGCCGCCGAAUCCCAGCCAUCAUCGCCGCCGGAGUCACCGUGGUUACCGCUGGAGAAGUGCUAUGAAUGCCGCUGCUGAUGUUAGCACGCAAGGGGGGAAGAGCCCGUCCUUGCCGAUUCUGCCGCCGUCAAAGGGAAAAGGAAGUGAGAGCACCGGUACGGAACGCGAGAAAGGAAUCGUCGCCAAAACCGGAACAGAUUCACCGGACGGACACCCUGGUCUCUGGUUCCUGUUAUUCUGAGUACCAAAGCUGUUGCUCCAUUCCCGUCUUUCCUUGCCAUUAUUAAUUUUCCCCCCAAAGUUGCUGUUGCUGCUAUUAGAGUUGUGGUUGAUGCUGUUAUCCUCGCGUUAGAACAUGGAGGGUUGCUGCAUUUCCGAUUUUGUGUGGUUAAUGCGACAUCGAGUGAUUGGAUGUUGAUUGAGCUGUUUGGGCCUGAGGCCGUGACUGGUAUGCUUGAGGUCUAGUUUUGUAUAAAGUAUCUGACUGGUUCAGCAUAGACUUAAUGAACCUAUGCUCGGAGUAGGAUGAUCAUUUAUACCGCGUAGGUAACUUCUUUUAUGUUAAGGUCUAGUAAAGUAUGAAAAAUCAAACUGGUUCAGCAUAGACUUAAUGAACCUAUGCUUGGAACAGGUUGGUCAUUCAUACAGUUUAGGAAACUUUUAAGAGUUUUAUAAAGAAAAUAUGGGUCUGGCAUUUUGAAUAAAUAACUAAUGCUUUUAAAGAAGGUUAAUUUUCUUUUAGAUGUCUCUGAAUGAAAUUAACUAUUUGCGCUUUAUUCUUUACUUUCACGGCAUUCUCGACCUCUACUGAGAACAUGUGGUUUGGUUCUCACCCCCAAAUUUUCCACCCUUUCAGUGACACAGGUUUGAAGACGCAAUUUGAAGCUGCGAGCGAUUAGUAGGUUUUCUUUAUUGUUUUAAUUGGUCUGGUAGAGUCCCCUCGCUGAUUGUCCCUUGAGAUUUUAUUUCAUAUAGAGGGGUAGGUUUGGUAUAUUGUAUUUGAGUUUUAUUUGGUUUCUUUUGUACAAGAAUUAUUAUCAAUAAUAUUUAUGUGAUUAUUGUUUGUUGGAGACCUUUGAUAUAUGUCUUUAAAGAACAAAAACAAAAUUUUCUGGAAUUUUCUAAAAACUAAAACGCGAACUCGAUACAAAGGCUUGAUAAUUAAGUAGUUAAUACUAGAGAAGGUUACGUAAUGUUCUUUCUAGUGGAAAUACCCUGACUUAAGCAAGGUAUUUUGCUGGAAGGGAUGUUACAUUAGGCCACGCUUUUAAAAGCGUGGCCCAUGACCAAAUUAAAGGAGAAUAGGCAAUCAGCACACACUGCCCUGCUCUUGCCAAGGGCAGGGCAGAAUCGUAAUGCAAAGUGAGGUUGGAAGCAAGAAUUUUCGCUAAGGUAAAAUCUGGGCGCUCAUAGCAUGACCAUGCCUCCUUCAAAGGGCUAUAACUUGAGCUACAGACGUCCAAUUGAUGUGCUUCCAGUUGCGUUGGAAAGCUGACAUUCAGAGCUUUCCAAUGAUAUAUAGCAAUCCAUAUUUGGCGUACAAUUGUGGCAGGAACGGAAGGCAUCUUUAAGGGCCAAAAAUAAGCGAAAAUAAACCAAUGUGCUUCCACCAAGGUUCGAAGCUGGAGCCUCACCCCAAAGCAAGUAGCGCUCAUUUUUCUGCUCUGCCCUCUUGGAGAGCAGGGCAAUGUCGUGCUCUUCAUGGAAAAUCAAGGAAAAAUUGCGCCUCAAGUGCUUUCACCAAGGUUCGAACACAAGACCUUCAAGGAAAUAAAGGCAAGGAGCUUAGGCGCGCACACAACUUGGCACGGCCAGCACCAAGCACGCACGGCCAGCACUUGGCGCACCAUGGCAACUCUGCCCUGCCCUCCACAAGGGUAGGGCAGCAUCCUGACGCAUCACACACACCAAGCACGCACGCAAUGAAGCCGCAUGCACCAUUUCCUGCUCUGCCCUCCACAAGGGCAGGGCAGCCUCCUGGGAGCAAAUAAUCAUGGGCCGAAAGUUCAAUUUCAUAUAAAUUCAAUUCCUCACCAAAUUGAAUGAAGGCCAUCCAAGACCCAUUCUCCCUCAAAUCCAAAGCAAGCAAAGCCCAUAUCAUCACUCAAAGGCACAAGAACAAGCUAGAUUAGGAAUUUCAUUUUGUGAAAUUAUUUUUUAAUUUCAAUUUCAUUUUAUUUUUAUUUUGUAAAAUGCCUAUAUAAAGGGCAUCACUCUCAUUUCAGAGAGGAGGUUGGCUCCAUUAGGGAGUAGUAGAUA